AAAUUCUUUCGAGAAAGCAGCUCGUUGUCCCUCCGUCUCCGAUUUCCUCCUCCACCCUCUCCUCCGUUAUGGCUGAACCAUCUCACCACAUCCUACUCCCUCUCAGCCUCCUUCUCAGCCUCCUUCUCCACCUCCCGUUCCCCCGACCCAGCUAACCCAAACCCUAACUCAUCUCCGAUUGAACCCACCUCUCUCAAUUCGCUGCCGCCUCUUCCACCUCCAUCCUCCAUAAAUGAUUUUGGGUUAGGGUUCCUGGACGGCGAUGACGAGUUUCCUCUCAUGAGCUUUCUUCGAUCCUGUUCAGGAGGGACUAUUUGAAGAUCUCAAAGCUUACAGGACAGAAGACGACCGGGUUAGGUUGUUCCGGCCUGACGAAAACGCUCUUCAUAUGCAAACAGGUGCUGAUAGGCUUUGUAUGACACCAUCGUUUGUGGAGCAAUUCAUCGAAGCAGUUAAGCAAACUGUACGUGCCAACAAGAAAUGGGCUCCUCCUCCGGGUAAAGGAGUUUUGUAUACAAGGCCUCGGCUAAUAGGGAAUGGCGCUAUCCUUGGAACAGCUCCAGCACAUUAGUACACGUUCUUCAUUUAUACAUCUCCCGUAGGAGAUUACCAUAAGGUAAGCACAGGCCUCAACCUUAAAGUUGAUCAUAAGUAUCGCUGAGCCCAUUCAGGUGUAACAGGCAGCGUUAAGAGCUGCACAAACUAUUCUCCAGUAAGUAAAGAGAUACCAGAAAUAUAUCAUCCAUGGCAACAAGUUAAUGAAGUAUCUAGUUUUCUGAUUUGUUCACUUGUAUCAAUGAAGUAAGUUUUGAUUUUUUCAAAGAGUUGCAUUUUGUUUGUUUGUUUUCAGAAGUGUAGAUGCUUAUUACUUUUGUUUCCAUGAGAUGCAGGUCACUUUAACAAUUUUGUUAGAGAUCGGUCUUCUUAUGUGUUCAGUUAGAUUCUGAUUUUGCUUAUGUAUUGGAUUAGUUGAUCUGGUGAAGAUGCUUUUGAGACUGCAAAGAGUUGACGUUUCUUCUUCUCCUUAAUCUCAUUAGCUUUUGGUUUUAGUUCUUAUUCCUUCUCUCUGUUCUUGAGAGUUUAUUAAUUUUCUGAAUUUUUUUUUGCAGAAAAGAAGAAUGGUUCCAAUACUUUGACCACGUUUAAGCAAAACGAGAGACUUGAAUCAGUUUCAGUUACAUCUCAUCAUUACAGGUUUGAUAUCUUGGUCCUUUACAUGAAUAAUACUUCGUUUAACACUCUUAGGUCGAUUAUUAUUUGCACAGUUCAUCAAAAACAGGUUUUGGUUAUAAUAAACAUUUCUCUAGAACAAUUGGAGCGUGUUUUGGAUACAAGAUCAAAUCUGGUAGAGUUUUAUAUUGGACAAAAACAGAAGAGGGCAACAACUGCUGCAAAAACCGGUUGCAAGAUGAUCAAAUCUUUUUGAGUUACUGUGUGUGUUUGGAACUGCAAUUGCUUGUUGCUUGGAACUGCAAUUUAUUGCAUUGAUUCUCUCCCAGGCUAGGCAAGCACUUCUCACGCAAAGAAUUGCUUCAGCACUUCAAGCAGCCAUGAUGUUAAGACCACGUUUUGUAAGACAUUUGGUAUGAUGUUUAAGACUUGAUGUUUUGUAAGACUUGUUUUUAAUAUGAUGUUUGUCCUUGUGAUGUUUUGUGUAAGACAUGUUUGGAUGUUUAAUAAAAAUAAGAGUGUUUUAAAUGCAAA